UACGGGGGGUGCAAGCGUUACUCGGAAUCACUGGGCGUAAAGAGCAUGUAGGCGGAUUAAUAAGUUGGAAGUGAAAUCCUAUAGCUUAACUAUAGAACUGCUUCCAAAACUGUUGAUCUAGAAUAUGGGAGAGGUAGAUGGAAUUUCUGGUGUAGGGGUAAAAUCCGUAGAGAUCAGAAGGAAUACCGAUUGCGAAGGCGAUCUACUGGAACAUUAUUGACGCUCAGAUGCGAAAGCGUGGGGAGCAAACAGG
rnacentral:rRNA from 1 species